rnacentral:rRNA from 1 species
AAGCUCGUAGUUGAACCUUGGGCCUGGCUGGCCGGUCCGCCUCACCGCGUGUACUGGUCCGGCCGGGCCUUUCCCUCUGUGGAACCCCAUGCCCUUCACUGGGUGUGGCGGGGAAACAGGACUUUUACUUUGAAAAAAUUAGAGUGCUCCAGGCAGGCCUAUGCUCGAAUACAUUAGCAUGGAAUAAUAGAAUAGGACGUGUGGUUCUAUUUUGUUGGUUUCUAGGACCGCCGUAAUGAUUAAUAGGGACAGUCGGGGGCAUCAGUAUUCAAUUGUCAGAGGUGAAAUUCUUGGAUUUAUUGAAGACUAACUACUGCGAAAGCAUUUGCCAAGGAUGUUUUCAUUAAUCAGGAACGAAAGUUAGGGGAUCGAAGACGAUCAGAUACCGUCGUAGUCUUAACCAUAAACUAUGCCGACUAGGGAUCGGACGAUGUUAUUUUUUGACUCGUUCGGCA